AUUCACCAGGCUGUGCCACCCCCAGCACUGUGUAGUUGAAGAUGGAGACCCCUUAGAGCACAUGGGUCCUAUGGGGGAGGACACACACAGGCCAUCUUAGAGGAGGUGAGAUAGAGUCUGCUGUGCAUGGAGCAGAGAUGACUGCCUAAAGGGUAGUGAGGAUUUCAGGGUAUUAUAUCUCUUACUGUGAUCUGUGAUGUUAACUAUAUUUAAUGUCAUGUGAUACUACAAACCCUGUUCAUAUAAGACAGCAAAUUUAAUAUGUGUGUUCUUAUUGCUCCACAGAUCAUGUCUCGCCAUCCUCUUAUUCCCUAAGAUACAAUAUUGAAGUCAGACCAGUUAAUAACUCUGUAAUGGGCUGGACUGUCAAAAUAAAAGGAAGAGUCCCAUGUUUUGCGAUCUAAAUAGAAGGCUGUGCCUUAGGCUGGGGCUGUAGCUCAGUGGCAGAAUGCUUGCCUAGCAUGUGUGAGGCACUGAAUUCAAUCCUUAGCACUGAAAAAAAAAAAAAAACUAAACAAAUAAAGGCAUGCUGUCCAACUACAACUAUUAAAAAAAAAAGCUGUGCCUCUCUAGUCCCAGUGAGAAUGCAAAGGAAAUGUUCUUGAAUAAAAUUAAAGUGCUGUUCCAGGGCAUAUGUGAAUGAUAAGAAAGCAAAAUAGCUGAUAAGUAUAAAGUUUUUCAUAGUCUGGAGAACAGAUGAAACAAGCCAUGUUCCUUAAGCCAAAGCCAAAUCCCAGAUAAGGCCAUAACAUUAGAUUGUUCUAAUGCCAAGAGAAGUGAGAAAACUCCAGAAGAAGUUUGAAGGUGCGGGCUGGGGCUGUAGCUCAUUGGUAGAGUGCUCGCCUCACACGUGUGAGGCACUGGGUUCGAUCCUCAGCACCACAUAAAAAUAAAAAUGAUGUGUCCACCUAAAACUAAAAAAUAAACUUAAAAAAAAAGGAAAAAAAAAAGAAAAAGAAGAAGAAGAAGAAGUAGUUUGAAGGUUUAAGGCAAGAGGCCCAUCUCCAUAUAAGACAAGUGCAAGGUGAAGCAGCAAGUGCUGAUGUAGAAGCUGUAGCAAGUCAUGAAGAAGAUCUUGCUAAGCUAUCUGAUGAAGACGUGAUACGGUUGAGUUUCUAGGUGUCCUCCAAAAGCUCAUGGGCGAGACAAUGCAAGAAGGUUUAGAGGGGAAAUGGCCCUGUUAAGAGAGCCUUAACCCAAUCAGUGAAUUAAUCCCCCCCAGCAGGAUGAACAGGUGGCAAACAUAAAAGGGGAUGCCCACACCCUCUCCAAGCCUGGAGGUGUAGGCCGCACCUGUGGAGGAGUUCAGUGGCUGUGAAAGAUGUCCAGUGGCAGGGUCAGAAGCCAACAGUAGCCAUCCUCAACGUUCCACAUUAGGGUUCCACAUUGGAGGUUCCCAGCAAGCAGGGGCUGUGUCAGGAUCCGAGAGCAGGGACAUCCAUCUGUGGGCAGGGCAUUCAUCAGCCCUAAGGCAGUUUGGGGAGUCCAGUUGUACCGGUAGCUGCAUGGAAAUUGGCCUAAAAGGCUGGGAGGACAGCCACAGGCAGCAGCGAUGGGCAGUCCAGCCUUGGCGUUGGGCACCUGUGGAGGCACCCGUGUCCGGAGUUCGGUUAUGGCAGCGGUGGCAAAGGCAACUUAGGAGUCUGGAGGCGACAGUGGUAGGCAAGGCGUCCAGAUAGGAGCAUCCUCAUCCAUUGGCGGUGGCGGGAGUCUGGCUCCAGUGCAGAGGCGGUAGUGGUGACAUUGCUGGUGGCCAGGUUGGGACUACAGUGGCCACAGCGUGGAGCUCUGGCUGCGGCGACAGCGACAGCGUGGGGCAGCGAGCCUCAGAGUCAGAGGGCGACUGGAGG
rnacentral:lncRNA from 1 species